UACGUAGGGUGCAAGCGUUGUCCGGAAUUAUUGGGCGUAAAGAGCUUGUAGGCGGUUUGUCGCGUCUGCUGUGAAAUUUCGGGGCUCAACCCCGAACUUGCAGUGGAUACGGGCAGACUAGAGUGUGGUAGGGGAGACUGGAAUUCCUGGUGUAGCGGUGAAAUGCGCAGAUAUCAGGAGGAACACCGAUGGCGAAGGCAGGUCUCUGGGCCAUAACUGACGCUGAGAAGCGAAAGCAUGGGGAGCGAACAGGAUUAG
rnacentral:rRNA from 1 species